GACGAACGCUGGCGGCGUGCUUAACACAUGCAAGUCGAGCGGUAAGGCCCUUUCGGGGGUACACGAGCGGCGAACGGGUGAGUAACACGUGGGUGACCUGCCCUCAGCUCUGGGAUAAGCCUGGGAAACCGGGUCUAAUACUGGAUAUGACUCCAUGACGCAUGUUGUGGGGUGGAAAGCCUUGUGCGGCUGAGGAGUGGGCCCGCGGCCUAUCAGUCUUGUUGGUGGGGUGAUGGCCUACCAAGGCGACGACGGGUAGCCGGCCUGAGAGGGCGACCGGCCACACUGGGACUGAGACACGGCCCAGACUCCUACGGGAGGCAGCAGUGGGGAAUCUUGCGCAAUGGGCGAAAGCCUGACGCAGCGACGCCGCGUGAGGGA
rnacentral:rRNA from 1 species